CCCUACGGGGUGCAGCAGGCUGGGGAGAUCUUUGCCUUGAGAGACCGAGAGACUCAGCUAGAGGCUCAGCUAUCAGAGAAAUCUCAAGCCCUUGAUGAUGAGCGUAAGAAGGCGAAUUGGCUGGAGAGCGAAUGGAAUAUAGCGAAGGUCAAGAUCGAUCAGCAGGCUGGGGAGAUCUUUGCCUUAAGAGACCGAGCGACUCAGCUAGAGGCUCAGCUAUCAGAGAAAUCUCAAGCCCUUGAUGAUGAGCGUAAGAAGGCGAAUUGGCGGGAGGGC
rnacentral:rRNA from 1 species